ACGGCCGCGGUAUCUUGACCGUGUGAAGGUAGCGUAAUCAUUUGUCUUUUAAAUGAAGACCUGUAUGAAUGGCGCAACGAGAGCUUAACUGUCUCACUCUCUCAGUCAAUGAAAUUGAUCUCCCCGUGCAGAAGCGAGGAUUAAAACAUAAGACGAAAAGACCCUAUGGAGCUUUAGAUCCUGAAACAGCCCUCUUAUACUUAAUACAAUAAUAUUUCUGGUCCCUGUUUCUAUGUUUCUUCGGUUGGGGCGACCAUGGAGAAAAACAUAACCUCCACGAAAAGCACUAAGUGUUUAAUAUAAACCAAGAACAACAACUCUAAUUUCCAGAAUUUCUGUUCACUAAAGAUCCGAUUAACAACUAAUCGAUCAACGAAACAAGUUACCCUAGGGAUAACAGCGCAAUCCCCUUCUAGAGCCCACAUCGACAAGGGGGUUUACGACCUCGAUGUUG
rnacentral:rRNA from 1 species